UGGAUUUUCCUUUAAGGUACUC
rnacentral:siRNA from 1 species